GGGGUGUGGCGCAGCGGUAGCGCAGUUGACUGUUAAUCAAUUGGUCGUUGGUUCGAAUCCAACCACCCCUU
rnacentral:tRNA from 1 species